rnacentral:piRNA from 1 species
UGGUUUGCCAUUAGCAUUGGCCUCUAUU